rnacentral:rRNA from 1 species
AACGAACGCUGGCGGCAGGCCUAACACAUGCAAGUCGAGCGCACCCUUCGGGGUGAGCGGCGGACGGGUUAGUAACGCGUGGGAACAUACCCUUUUCUACGGAAUAGCCUCGGGAAACUGAGAGUAAUACCGUAUACGCCCUUCGGGGGAAAGAUUUAUCGGAGAAGGAUUGGCCCGCGUUAGAUUAGAUAGUUGGUGGGGUAACGGCCUACCAAGUCUACGAUCUAUAGCUGGUUUUAGAGGAUGAUCAGCAACACUGGGACUGAGACACGGCCCAGACUCCUACGGGAGGCAGCAGUGGGGAAUCUUAGACAAUGGGCGCAAGCCUGAUCUAGCCAUGCCGCGUGUGUGAUGAAGGCCUUAGGGUCGUAAAGCACUUUCGCCAGGGAUGAUAAUGACAGUACCUGGUAAAGAAACCCCGG